GCUUUCGUAGUUCAACGGAUAGAAUGGGAGAUUCCGGAUCUUCUGAUGCGGGUUCGACUCCCGCCGAAAGCG
rnacentral:tRNA from 1 species